UAGCUAGUUGGUGGGGUAAGGGCCUACCAAGGCGACGAUCGGUAGCUGGUCUGAGAGGAUGACCAGCCACACUGGAACUGAGACACGGUCCAGACUCCUACGGGAGGCAGCAGUGGGGAAUAUUGGACAAUGGGGGCAACCCUGAUCCAGCAAUGCCGCGUGUGUGAAGAAGGCCUGAGGGUUGUAAAGCACUUUCAGUGGGGAGGAGGGCUGAUAGGUUAAGAGCUAAUUAACUGGACGUUACCCACAGAAGAAGCACCGGCUAACUCCGUGCCAGCAGCCGCGGUAAUACGGAGGGUGCGAGCGUUAAUCGGAAUUACUGGGCGUAAAGGGUGCGUAGGUGGUUGAUUAAGUUAUCUGUGAAAUUCCUGGGCUUAACCUGGGACGGUCAGAUAAUACUGGUUGACUCGAGUAUGGGAGAGGGUAGUGGAAUUUCCGGUGUAGCGGUGAAAUGCGUAGAGAUCGGAAGGAACACCAGUGGCGAAGGCGGCUACCUGGCCUAAUACUGACACUGAGGCACGAAAGCGUGGGGAGCAAACAGGAUUAGAUACCCUGGUAGUCCACGCUGUAAACGAUGUCAACUAGCUGUUGGUUAUAUGAAAAUAAUUAGUGGCGC
rnacentral:rRNA from 1 species